GAAGCUCUGAACACUAUAUUCAAUAAAAUUUUUUUAAAUAGAAGAACCUGGGAGCCAACAGCUAAUAUUACUUGGUGCCUGUGGGGCAAAUGUUUUUGGGUUUUGUCACUUUUCAAAAAUCCCUCAAUGUCCUAAUAACAAAGGACACUUCUCAUUUCUUAAAAAACAAAACAAGACCAAAAAAAAAAAACAAAAAAAAAAACAACCCAAUAACCCCAAACCGCACAGACCUCAGAAAUUUGUCUGGAUUUCUGAAGAGGUGGGCUGGCUCCUCAGCUGACCAAAAAGAGAAGACCGAGAAGAGAAGAGAGCCACCUUCAUCAAGAACACAUAACCAGUAGACCCAGGUUCCCCUAGGACAGUUUUCCACUGCAACAUGAGUCCUCUGGGGAAGGGAAGAGUAUGGAGCUGGUGAAUGAGCCCUCGGUGGGGCGACAGGAACCCUGGGUCCUGCUCCUGUCUCUGCCACCACCAGCCAGGUGACCAAAGUUAGAUGAGCCACUAAUUUCUUGGGCCACAGAAAUCGAGUAGCUAGGGAGCCUGAAAAGGAGGGGGAGGGGAGCCAUCCUCAUUUCCAGCCCCAACUUCGUACUGAUCCAUCCCCUUUCUGUGUUCAGAUUUAGAAGCUUCUCCACCCCCCACAGGCUUUUCUGGCUUCAUCAUGGGUCUCUCCCACCCGCCCUUUUUGAGUUUCCUCACUGGACUGGGGCCUCUAAAAGCACUGUCGUUUACAGGCUGGGUUCCCAGUACUGACUGGGUCACGAGGGGAGAAUUGCUGAGGCCAGGAGGAGGAUGUGGAAGGCUGGGUCAGCCGGUGCAGGCGUCAUUCCCAACAGGGAACAGGGUCCUGGGAGAAGGGGCUCAGCAUUUCCUGAAGGGAAAUGACUCCCAUAAAUAGAGGGAUGGGAAAAGGACCCGUCUAUCCCUUCCCUCCUGUCAGCUCAGCUCUUCCUUCUCGUGUCUAGACUAUGCGAACUCUCAGAAGUAUUUUUCAGUCAAAUAUGUCCCUGCCAGUGUGUGUGUGUGUGUGUGUGAGAGAGAUGUGGUUAUCUGCUUUCUUGUGUAUAUAUUGUAGAUCUAAAAUAUGAACUGAAGAAGGGAUGCAUGCCUUUUAUUUGUUUACCCACAGUAACCUCUCAUUAGUCCAUUCCAGUAUAGAGCUAGGAUUUUUUUCCAGUGGGGUUUUUAUUGGGAAGGAAGGAAGGAAGGAGAAUAUUCACCUUCUGAGAUCAUCUCUUAUUUAAGGGUUCAUCCAAGAGGUCAGCAGCUCUCCCCUGUGAUGCUUACAGUAUGCUCUUAAGGUCCUUUUUUUUUUUUUUUUUUUUUUGCUCUUAAGGUCCUUAGAAAGGUUAGGUCUCAUGAGAGCUCUACUAAGAAGUUUGUAGCACCUCCAGUGUCAUGAAGCAUCUCCGGGAGGGAAAGGGACUUCUUGACAGCUGCUCUUCUGCUCUUCAGUCUGUCCCAGGAAUGAUCACAUCGCACCCAACCUCUAUGCCAGGCUGGAGGCAAACCCAUGGGGGCUUUAGGUUCCUUAACAACAGAAAUUUAUCCUUACCAAAGACCCUUUUUAUAUCCUAAAAAAAA
rnacentral:lncRNA from 1 species